CACGAGGACGGCAGGCUACAACGCUGGGGAGACGGGAGCCGUCCCUAUUCUACCUAAGGCAGCUUUUAGCGGGAUUCUGAUGAAAUGUUUGUGUCCUCCAGACUGUUUAAAAUUCUGGGAGGAAUGUUCCAAAAAAGCUUUUCUGAUUUUGAGAGCUCCACGGAGAAAAGAAUCACAUGUGUACCUGAUUGCUUCCUUGGAUCAAUGUCUCAGCUCUUUAUAGGAUGCUCUAGUUCACGGAUAGCUGUGCAGACCUCCUGAAAGAGGUGGAUCUCAAAGAGCUGUGAUUCAUGCCAGAAUCAGACUUCACAUGCUGAAAAUGGAAAAGAGAAAUUAAAAGCCAAAUUUUUUUAAGUCUUCAA